rnacentral:lncRNA from 1 species
CAUAAUGCCAUAGGGAUCUGAAAACACCAUAUCCAUCCCAUUCAACUCCUUGUUUUGCUUAAUCACCAAAUCGUUCAAUUUGCUAUUGAACUCAGCCGCCAAAUUGUUGUAACUAUUGACGCACUCGCUUCCUCCCAUAAGAUUCCCGGUUCUCUCCAACGGCAUACACCCCAUCGGAGGCAACCCUCCUAACGAAAUCUUUCGGGCUCCAAGAUCGUAUAGUGCCUUGGUGAAAUUCCCGGCGAUCCCGACCAGGAAGUUUUCGUAUUCUUUAAUGGUGUAUUGCGAUGAACGUCCUGGGACCGCGUAGUAGUUCUCGAGGAAAUCGUUUGUUCCGACGCUUAUCAUGUAUAAAGCAUCUUUGAUUAUGUCGUUCGCUUUACCGUCUCCAAGGUUGGCUCUCAGUUUCGUUUGAUAAUCCUUGUAAUACUCCAGUUCUUUCCAUAGCGGUAUCACUGACUGCAAGACACAAUAUUAAAAUACAUCACGAGUAUACUGAGUAUGUAUACAUAUAUGAAGUGUAUGGUUAAUUUGAUGGAGACUUACGAGAACAUUGGAAGUGGCAUUGUCGUAGCCGGUUCCAGCAGAAGCGAAGGUAACUCCGGUGGCGAAAUCCGAUAUACUAUAUGAAGGGUCGAGGUAAGCAGGGAUGGCCCCUUUGAGACCAAACGCCUGGGAGAUGAAGUCGGUAGCGAUUUUGCCAUUGGAGAACCGACCUGUUGGAUGGCCACCAUUGAAAUCACG